AUCUACUUCCAGAACCGAGAGCCUAAAUUCUGUCGAGGAAGUCAUCUGGGAUUUGUUUUGGGCUGUGAUGACAGAGUUCUAGUUAACCAGUAAAGAUGAGGUGAACACUAGAACAAGGCAGGGGCAGACAAAUGAUCCUUACUAGAGUUUUCUUUCCCAACUGAUGCCUGCAAACUACUACUUCUUCAGAGCAGGCAACUCAGAGGAUCCACCUUGGGCUCAAAGGCCGGCAUCCCUCCAUCUAACAGGAAGCAGGAGCGAGUAAUUGUGAAGACUAUGGGAGCCAGACAACGUGGGACAGUGGGGUCUUUGGUAGCCUGAUGGAUGAAUAGUUGUAAAGAACAGAGUCUCUGCCAACCUGUGCUGGAAAAAAAAAAGGAUUAUGAACUAAGAAUAAAUCUGUUUUAUUAAGCC
rnacentral:lncRNA from 1 species